CCUCCACAGGUGGUCACAGUGAUGUCAGACUACUGGGAUCCAGAGCCUUGGUUUGUUGCUGUGGUGACGGUUACCGGCGUCCUGCUCCUGCUGGUCACAAGUCUGCUCAUCUGGGCCAUUCUGAGCCGCGUCUAUGGUUGGGGUCCAAAAGAUGAGCCUGAACCUCCAUCAAAUAAGACGGAAGAGAUCGGCAAAUUGAACACAGAAGUGAGUCAAAAUGGGGCCAGUGAAAAUGACCAGGCAAGUUGGAUCAAUGGUUUCCAAUUGCAUCCUGCUGAGAAUAAAUAUGUGAAACAGCAUGGGUUUACCUUUGAAUGUGUUUCUCCAAGGCCUCACUAGAUGGCACCCUCAUUCUGUCUAAAGUCAGCGUACAAGACGACCUGAUGAGGUUUGAUGGGAAGGCACAAGAUCCAGUUUCAGGGCGCAGUUACCUGUUCAACUCUUCCACUGGUGAACGGCGUUGGUUGUAGGGGACAUCCAGUCUUACCAUCAACGACCUGCACUGAUUUAUGUGCGGUUUAUACCAUCUGGAGCUGAAGAGGAUUCAUAGUAUGUGGAUUCAUAGUAGGUGCGCAAUCAGGCAUUUUAGCAUAAUUGUGAUUUCAAUUAAAGGUCGAUUUGAAGUUUGUAAGAGUGAUAUUUUAAAAGGUACUAUUUAAUACAUAAUCAUGCUGACCUGCUGUGUUGUAGGCUACUCCUUAAUUACUAUUCCUGUGUGUGUACUCAUGUAGUUCAGCAUCAACAACAGUAUACCUUAUAUAUACACAGAAGUAUGUGGACACCCCUUCAAAUGAGUAGAUGUGGCUAUUUCAGCCACACCCGUUGCUGAUUGGUGUAUACAAUCUAGCAAACAGCCAUGCAAUGUCCAUGGACAAAGAUUGGCAGUAGCAUGGCAUUACUGAAGAGCUAAGUGACUUUUAAUGUGGCACUGUCAUAAGAUGCCAUCUUUCCAACAAGUCAGUUCAUCAAAUGUUUCCCCUGCUAGAGCUGCUGUAAGUGCUGUUAUUGUAUAGUGGAAAUGUCUAGGAGCAACAACGGCUCAGCCGCAAAGUGGUAGACCACACAAGCUCACAGAACAGGACCGCUGAAUGCUGAAGAACGUAUAAAUAGUCAAUCCUCGGUUGCAACAUUCAUUACUGAGUUCCAAACGGCCUCUGGAAGCAACAUCAGCACAAUAACUGUUUGUCGGGAGCUUCAUGAAAUGAGUUUCCAUGGCCGAGCAGUCACACAAAAGUCUACAAUUACCAUGCAUAAUGCCAAGCAUCGGCUGGAGUGGUGUAAAGCUCACCACAUUUAGACUCUGGAGCAGUGGAAACACGUUCUCUGGAGUGACGAUUCACUCUUCACCAUCUGGCAGUCCGACGGACAAAUCUGGGUUUGGCGGAUGCCAGGAGAACCCUACCUGCUCCAAUGCAUAGUGCCAACUGUAAAGAUUGGUGGAAGAGGAAUAAUGAUCUGGGGCUGUUUUUCAUGGUUCGGGCUAGGCCCAUUAGUUAAAGUGAAGAGAAAUCUUUGCUACAGCAUACAAUGACAUUCCAGAAGAUUCUGUGCUUCCAAAUUUGUGGCAACAGUUUGUUUCAGCAUGACAAUGCCCCCAUGCACAAAGCAAGGUCCAUACAGAAAUGAUUUGUUGAGAUCAGUGUGGAAGAAUUUGAUUGGCCAGCACAGAGCCCUAACCUCAACCCCAUCAAACACCUUUGGGAUGAAUAGGAACGCCGACUGUGUGUCAGGCCUAAUCGCCCAACAUCAGUGCCAAACCUCACUAAUGACUCGUGGCUGAAUGGAAGCAAGUCCCCACAGCAAUGUUCCAACAUGUAGUAGAAAGCCUUCCCAGAAGAGUGGAGGCUGUUAUAGCACCAAAGGGGGACCAACUCCAUGUUAAUGCCCAUGAUUUAUAAAUGAGAUUUUCUUUUGGUCAUGUAGUGUAUGUUGUUUUGUCUAACGUGUGGAAUAACAGUUUGUUUUGGUUUUAUUACACCAACAGCUCUAACCUGAUUUGAAUGAAAUGAUCUGUUGUGUUCUAUGAAAAACCUGUCCAUUAGUAUGUGAAAAUGACCUAAAUAGUGUGUAGGAAAACACAAGAGCAAGUAAAUCAGAUGAUCUUUAUUUGUAUUUAAAUUAAAUCAUUAUUUAAGACUUUCAAAGCAUUUUAAUAUUGACCAAAAAACGAACCUUUUCCCAAUUAGAUUUUGUCUUUCCUCAAUCACUAUUUAUCGUUAAGAUGGUGUGAGAAAAAAUGGAAGAGAGAUGUAGGCAUACAGUCAGUCAAACAGUACUGAUAAAAGCAUAUCUAUGAAUCGGCUGUAAACUUAAGUGAAGGCACAAA